rnacentral:rRNA from 1 species
CGAUGAUACGCGAGGACCCUUACCCCGGGUUUGAACGUAGGGAGACAGGGGGUGGAAACAUCCUUUUCAGCAAUGACUGCYUACGAGGUGCUGCAUGGUUGUCGUCAGCUCGUGCCGUGAGGUGUCGGCUUAAGUGCCAUAACGAGCGCAACCCUUAUUUCCAGUUACUAACAGGUGAUGCCGAGGACUCUGGAGAGACUGCCAGCGUAAGCUGUGAGGAAGGUGGGGAUGACGUCAAAUCAGCMCGGCCCUUACAUCCGGGGCGACACACGUGUUACAAUGGUAAGGACAAAGGGCAGCUACCGGGCGACCGGAUGCGAAUCUCUAAACCUUAUCUCAGUUCGGAUCGGAGUCUGCAACUCGACUCCGUGAAGCUGGAUUCGCUAGUAAUCGCGCAUCAGCCAUGGCGCGGCGAAUACGUUCCCGGGCCUUGUACACACCGCCCGUCAAGCCAUGGGAGCCGGGGGUACCUGAAGUUCGUAACCGCAAGGAUCGACCUAGGGUAAAACUGGUGACUGGGGCUAAGUCGUAACAAGGUAACC